AUACACAGGUCUGCAUAUAAUGACUGCUAGUUAUUGGCUGGUAUGCAGUGAAAGGGAGCUAAAAAGGAGUAAAAAGUUCAUAUCAGCCAGGUAGCGUGGCUUAAAUAAACCAGUGUUAAGGAAUAUCCAGUAAUGGCAUGACAUCAUGAGAGUUUGGCAUACCAACAUUCAGAUGAUUAAUGAUGAAACUGAAGACCUCAAGUGAAAGGCAUGGAAAAUGAUCCUGUUCCCAUAUACCUGAAAAAGAGGAGGGAUGCCACAAUAUUGAUAAUAGACUUUUGUCAAUUUGAGAAGCAAA